AAAAUGUUAUUUUUCUGAUUUUAUUCAUUAUUUAUCUCAUUGCUGUGAUACAAUACUUUUAUAUUAGUUACUUUAUUUAUUUACAUCCCAAAUUUUGCCCCUCCAGUUCACUCUUGCAGAGUUCUCCCCCACCCCCCCCCGCAAUCCCUGUCCCCUUCACCUCUCAGAUGGUGCCCCAUCCUGGACAGUCACCCUCCCUGGGGCAUCAAGUCUCUACAGGAUUAGGCACAUCCUCCUUCACUGAGGCCAGACAAGGCGGGCCUACACAUGUUCAGGGAGUGUCUAACCAGCCUAUGUAUGCUUUUUGGUUGGUGGCUUAGUCUCUAGGAUUGGAGACCAGGACAGUUAUUUUUUGUUUUUAUUGAUUGCUCUUGCUCUUUGCAAUUUAUACAUGUCUAUAAUGAGUUCUGGUUACUAUGUUCCAGUCCUCAUCUCCUUCUUAUCUCUGUCAACCCCCUACAACCCUAUCUGUCUUUCUCCUAAUUUCAUGACUUUUGUGUUUUAAUCCACGUAUUUUAAUCUGUGUGCUCUGGGUAGCUACUAGACUGGGACUGUACACUGACAGCUUCUAACAUCUUGAUAGCUGUUCACAUUCCUAUACAGACCCAAUGCAUGCAUCUACCACGAGUGGCUGGGCAGAUUCCUGUGCAGACCCAACUCAUUGGCGUUCACUAUAUGUUUGUGUUUGGAAUCGGUUUAUUUUGCCCACAAGAUUGCAUUUUGAAUCCCUCUUACCUCUUUUCCUGCUUUUAUGUUUCUUCUCUCCCCCUUUUAUGCACCAUUUUUGAUCCCUAGUGUGAUUUCUUGUAUAUGACCAAGCAGUCAUUUUCCACUUUGUGUGGGUGACAUUCUGCAUCCACUGUCUCUUAUUGUAAUAGAGGCUUCUUUUACUAAAACUUAAGAGUACCAUUUGUUUCUAUCUAUAAACACAAAUAUUUAACAGACCACUCAACACAGUGCAAUUUAGCUAAUCAACAGUUAUUCUAAUUCUUACUAUGGCAUAUCACUUCCAAGACCAUGUGUUUCUGAUCAGGUUUAAAGUACCACUAAUUGUUUCCCAGUGAAUUGGGCCUCAAAUGCAGAGCUAUUGUUUACCACUUUAACAGUUGUACUAGUAUUGCACAAAUGGGAAUGUUUUUCCCGGAAGUUUGAUCUUGCAUGUUGUAGAGUUCUCAUCUGUAAGAGACCUCUGAUUACUUUUCCCUCAUGCAGCCUACAUAAUUGCUUUAGGGGCAGCGUAAGCUAAUGCAAAUAGGGGAGUCUUUUGACUCACUUAAAGCAUUAUUUGUCUGUAUGAUGUGAAGAUGGAAUGUGCUGUCCUUAGCAAUAGGGACUUUUCAUCUUAUGACCAGCAGCUACAGGAAGGGGCAAGAGCAGGUGUUAUUUUGUGGAUUCUGAUCCAUUCAUGUCUAAGAUCUUUAAAGAGCUGUUUCACUCACGGCAUUUAAAUCUUCACCUAGUCGGCCAUCACUGGAAAGAGAGGCCCAUUGGACAGGCAAACUUUAUAUGCCCCAGUACAGGGGAACGCCAGGGCC
rnacentral:lncRNA from 1 species